UCCUACGGGGGGCAGCAGUGAGGGAUAUUGGUCAAUGGGGGAAACCCUGAACCAGCAACGCCGCGUGAGGGAAGACGGUUUUCGGAUUGUAAACCUCUGUCCUCUGUGAAGAUAAUGACGGUAGCAGAGGAGGAAGCUCCGGCUAACUACGUGCCAGCAGCCGCGGUAAUACGUAUGGUGCAAGCGUUAUCCGGAUUUACUGGGUGUAAAGGGAGCGUAGGCGGCGCGUUAAGUCUGAUGUGAAAACCCGAGGCUCAACCACGGGAGUGCAUUGGAAAUGGGCGGGGUGGAGUGCCGGAGAGGGA
rnacentral:rRNA from 1 species